GACGAACGCUGGCGGCGUGCCUAAUACAUGCAAGUAGAACGCUGAGGGAGGAGCUUGCUUCUCUGGAUGAGUUGCGAACGGGUGAGUAACGCGUAGGUAACCUGCCUGGUAGCGGGGGAUAACUAUUGGAAACGAUAGCUAAUACCGCAUAAGAGUAGAUGUUGCAUGACAUUUGCUUAAAAGUUGCAAUUGCAUCACUACCAGAUGGACCUGCGUUGUAUUAGCUAGUUGGUGAGGUAAAGGCUCACCAAGGCAACGAUACAUAGCCGACCUGAGAGGGUGAUCGGCCCAACUGGGACUGAGACAAGGCCCAGACUCCUAAGGGAGGCAGCAGGAGGGGAUCUUCGGCAAUGGACGGAAGUCUGACCGAGCAACGCCGCGUGAGUGAAGAAGGGUUUCGGAUCGGAAAGCUCUGUUGUAAGAGAAGAACGAGUGUGAGAGUGGAAAGUUCACACUGUGACGGUAGCUUAACAGAAAGGGACGGCUAACUACGUG
rnacentral:rRNA from 1 species